rnacentral:rRNA from 1 species
GAUGAACGCUAGCGGCAGGCCUAAUACAUGCAAGUCGAACGAAGUGGCGCACGGGUGCGUAACGCGUAUGCAACCUAACUUAAUCAGGGGGAUAGCCCGAAGAAAUGCGGAUUAAGACUGCAUAGGUUAAGAUGGGCAUGCGUGUCAUUAGGUAGUUGGCGGGGUCAAGGACCACCAAGGCGACGAUGACGAGGGGAUCUGAGAGGAGGACACCCCACACUGGUACUGGGACACGAACCAGACUCCAAGGAGAGGCAGCAGUAAGGAAUAAUGGGAAAUGGAGGGGACGCAGAAACAGCGAUGCCGCGUGCAGGAAGACAGGGUCUGGGUCGUAAAUUGUUUUUAUGAGGGAAUAGGUACCGAAGGAGUAAGGAUCGGCUAACUCCGUGCCAGCCGCCGCGGUAAUAC